ACUAUUUUGGCAGAUAAGUGCGUUAGAUUUAGAAUCUAUUAAUGUGGAGUUGUUUUACAGGUAGUA
rnacentral:tRNA from 1 species